GCCUACGGGGGGCAGCAGUGGGGAAUAUUGCACAAUGGGGGGAACCCUGAUGCAGCGACGCCGCGUGGGUGAAGGAGUACUUCGGUACGUAAAGCCCUAUCAGCAGGAAAGAAAAUGACGGUACCUGACUAAGAAGCCCCGGCUAACUACGUGCCAGCAGCCGCGGUAAUACGUAGGUGGCAAGCGUUGUCCGGAUUUACUGGGUGUAAAGGGCGUGCAGCCGGGCUGACAAGUCAGAUGUGGAAUCCCGCGGCUCAACCGCGGAACUGCAUUUGAAACUGUCAGUCUUGAGUACCGGAGAGGUC
rnacentral:rRNA from 1 species